rnacentral:rRNA from 1 species
AUUGAACGCUGGUGGCAUGCUUUACACAUGCAAGUCGAACGGCAGCGCGGGGCAACCUGGCGGCGAGUGGCGAACGGGUGAGUAAUAUAUCGGAACGUACCCAGAAGUGGGGGAUAACGUAGCGAAAGUUACGCUAAUACCGCAUACGAUCUACGGAUGAAAGUAGGGGACCGCAAGGCCUUAUGCUUUUGGAGCGGCCGAUAUCUGAUUAGCUAGUUGGUGAGGUAAAGGCUCACCAAGGCGACGAUCAGUAGCUGGUCUGAGAGGACGACCAGCCACACUGGAACUGAGACACGGUCCAGACUCCUACGGGAGGCAGCAGUGGGGAAUUUUGGACAAUGGGCGCAAGCCUGAUCCAGCAAUGCCGCGUGAGUGAAGAAGGCCUUCGGGUUGUAAAGCUCUUUUGUCAGGGAAGAAACGGUAGAGGCUAAUAUCCUUUGCUAAUGACGGUACCUGAAGAAUAAGCACCGGCUAACUACGUG